UACGUAGGGGGCAAGCGUUGUCCGGAAUCAUUGGGCGUAAAGAGCGUGUAGGUGGCUCGGUAAGUCCGCUGUGAAAGUCCAGGGCUCAACCCUGGAAAGCCGGUGGAAACUGUCGAGCUCGAGUCCGGAAGAGGCGAGUGGAAUUCCUGGUGUAGCGGUGAAAUGCGCAGAUAUCAGGAGGAACACCAAUGGCGAAGGCAGCUCGCUGGGACGGUACUGACACUGAGACGCGAAGCGUGGGAGCAAACAGG
rnacentral:rRNA from 1 species